ensembl:lncRNA
UGCUUUUGAACGAGUAACAGAAGUCAUGGCGACGCUGCGCUUCAUUUUUCUGUUUAUUGUCUUCAGUAAAAGCCAUGGUGAGUGAUUUCCACAUUGUUGUUACCCUGUUUACAGUAUAUAUAUAAUAUUGUUCCAUCUGAUCAUUUUUAGUGUAACUUUGACUGCAGGUUGAACUCAGACCGUCAUUCUGUAGCAGUAGAUUCACGUUCAUCAAGUCUUUUUCUAUCUGUACAAUAUUUACACUUUUGCUAAGUGUUAGACAUCUUUAUCUUUUUAGUUUAUCAUUAAUAAAUUUAUGAUAAUAAACAAAACAACAGCCUGAAUUCACUGUUUUUUUUUUGGUCUCACAUUCAUUUCUUUUUUGUUUUUAAGGACAAACUCAGAUCAUUUAUAGAGCAACAAAUAAAGUAGAGUUGAGAUGUGAAACAACCAAAUGGCAAAUAAGCACAAAGUCUAACAACCGGAUUGACCUGACCUGCUCACAGUGUGACCACAUCAGCAUUGAGCUCUCAGAGGAUGAUGAGAAACUGGACUUCUGCACAAAUAAACACUCACAGUCAAAGCCUGGCUGCACUCUAGCAGUAAAGAGUGGCUUUGUUGCCUGUGUUAAAUCUCUGGAUCCUGGACUCUUAUAUCCAUUUAAACCGUCUCCCAACAUUGUCCAUUCAUUCAUAGUUGCUGAUCCAAACCCAAACAUAACAUCCACACCUGAGGAAACAUCUUCACUGACAGUACCUGAAGGUGGAUCAGUGAGUUUAAACUGUAGUUUCACCUUCACACAAGAAUAUAAUGGGGUGUCUUUUGUUGUUUACUGGAUUAAGACUGUUGGAGAGAGCAGCACCUGUGUGUAUUCUUAUGAUUAUUCCCCGUAUGAGCCGCUCGGGCUCGGUCACCACUGCACCAUACAGGAAGAUCUGCUUAACAGACUCUCAAACCAAACCGAACGACAGAACAGUCACAACAUCAGGAUCAGUGAAGUGAUGGAGUCAGACAGCGGUCAGUACCUCUGUGCUGUACAAGUGCACCCAAGUAAUAAAAACACUGCUGAAGGAAACUGGAAGGUGAUAGAAAGAGUUACAGUCAGUGUCCACAAAGACAAGAGACCACAGCCAACCAGGACCACCGUGACUCAGAAAACCACUGAGGAGACAACAAAGAAAACUAGUGAGAAAGUUAGUGGUAUUCACCCUCUCAUGCCUCUGUUUACUUCAUGGCCCAUAUGUUUGGGUCUUCUGCUUUCUGUUUGGAUCGCAUUCGCACUCAUAAGGAAAAAGGCCAGCACUGCACGAGGUGACCCUCCAGUAUGA